GGGGGGGUUCUGUCACGCCCUGGUCGAAGUAUUUUGUGUUUAUCUUCAUUUAUUUGGUCAGGCCAGGGUGUGGCAUGGGUUUUUGUAUGUGGUGUGUUGGUAUUGGGAUUGUAGCUUAGUGGGGUGUUCUAGUUAAGUCUAUGGCUGUCUGAAGUGGUUCUCAAUCAGAGGCAGGUGUUUGUCGUUGUCUCUGAUUGGGAACCAUAUUUAGGCAGCCAUAUUCUUUGAGUGUUUCGUGGGUGAUUGUCCUUAGUGUCCUUGUUUCUGUCGCUGUGUUACUUUGCACCAGUAUUAGGCUGUUUCGGUUUUCGUGUUACGUUUUUUUGUUUUUGUAUUUGAUCGUGUUUACUUUGUCUCAUUAAACAUGGAUCGCAAUAGCCACGCUGUAUUUUGGUCCGACUCUACUUCACCUAUAGAAAACCGUUACAGUGAUAAGAGAAACAAUAAGACAUUUCAGCCUCAAUGUAAGGACAAUAUAUUGAAUCAGUAUUUACUCUUAUCAUAGGAACACACCUGGAGCGUGUUAUGUUGGUCUGUUAAAAGAGUCAUUAGAAGAUAAACAAAACAAAUUAACACACACUUUUUGACCUAUUUUGUUAUUUAUUCAGUCCAUAUAUAUUUGAAUUAAAAAAUGUAAAGAAUCUAGUAGUUAACUAAUGCAAUAAAAAUUGUUAUGAACGUUGUCUAUGAACACUGUGUCUCCUGAAUGAUGGGUCAGGGCUAUAUCCUCCUGGGUUGUGGCUCAACUCAAGACUAGGUUGACAUAUACGUUUAGUUUAUUUGGUUGGUCUCAAUAAAUAUUUCAACUUGGUCAGAAGGUAAACAAAUCUAGGAACCACUUGUUGAUACCUUUUUCUGUGCAAUGAGAAAAUGGGGUUUAAGCCUCUCAUACCGGUAUUAGAGGGCCAUGAAAUGCUUGGAACAGAGCCAACCCUUCUGCCACACCUUCACGUCCAGAAGAACCAAGGACCUUCCCUUCACUCAGGUGGUAUAAAGCCAAGAACCAACAAGUACCUUUCUCAUACCACCUGUGUUCACUACCCAGAGGAUGACCAUGGGGACAACACAGACGCCGACAUGGGUGUUAUUAUGGAUGGCUCUGGCGAUUGGUUUAACUGCCUCUCAAAGUGAGGAUACAACAAAGGCCACAGUUAACAUCAUCCCCUCAAUGUCAAGGUUGCCUGAGAUUGCAGGUAAGCUUCAUAAUACAUGUGCUAUACAGAUGUGAGCCCUGAGGAUGGUGACAAUGAUUAACACUGCAGCCUUACAUAUCCACAGACAAUGGUGAAAGGACAAUAACCAUGAUGGAGACAGUCAUAGCAAGUUGUGCAACAGGUUUUGUGGAUUAGCUGUUUUUGAGAAGCAUGAAGUAGGCUAGCUCAUUCAUUUAUUGUUCAAGUUCAUAAACAUGAUAGAGAUUGGAUGUACUUUGAAAAGUCUUUGUUUUUUAGUUGAUUAAAUAUUGAAUUUGGCGUUUACUACUGUAGCCCAUAGAACGCUUUGAAUAACACAUUCAUUAAUGCCAAAAAAGUUUCUGGAGGUAUAAGAAAGUUCAGGAAAUAUUUGUGUUUUUUAUACAUAUUUAACCAUAUAAUAGCCAUAUUGUUAUUUAUUUUAUUUAUUUAUAUAUAUAUAUAUACAGUAUAUUUGCUCCUUUGUACCCCAGUAUCUCUACUUGCACAUUCAUCUUCUGCACAUCUAUCACUCCAGUGUUUAUUUGCGAAAUUGUAAUUAUUUUGCCACUACGGCCUAUUUAUUAUUGCCUUACCUCCCUAAUCUUACUUCAUUUGCACACACUGUAUAUAGAUGUUUCUAUUGUGUAAUUGACUGUAUGUCUGUUUAUUCCAAGUGUAACUCUGUGUUUGUGUCAGACUGCUUUGCUUUAUCUUGGCCAGGUCGCAGUUGUAAAUGAGAACUUCUUCUCAACUGGGCAACCUGGUUAAAUAAAUGUAAAAUUAAAGACAUAACCCAUUUUUUUUUGUUGGCACAAAACUACCACCAUGCUUCCAUUCAGUGACACGUGGGGGUUGUAGACCAAACGGUUCGGAUGCUACAGACAGAGGUUGGCACAUCGGUGGUACCAGCAUCAGAC
rnacentral:lncRNA from 13 species